rnacentral:misc_RNA from 1 species
AACCAUUCUCACCUGCGGCUAGACCUGCGGAAGGAUCAUUAAACAACUAGGCCGUAACAAGCCUUGAACCCUUCUCUACGCGCACCUUUACCUUCUCCUUCGGCGGGUCAGCGCCCGCCGUCGGAACCAACAAACCCCCUUUUGCAUCUAGCAUACCACCCGUUCCGAUACAAAACACAAUCGUUACAACUUUUAGCAAUGGAUCU